rnacentral:rRNA from 1 species
UUCCGGUUGAUCCUGCCAGAGGUCACUGCUAUCGGGGUUCGAUUAAGCCAUGCGAGUCGAGAGGGUUCGGCCCUCGGCGUACUGCUCAGUAACACGUGGAUAACCUGCCCUAAGGAAGGGGAUAACCUCGGGAAACUGAGGAUAAUACCCUAUAGGUUACAGACGCUGGAAUGCCCUGUAACCGAAAGCUCCGGCGCCUUAGGAUGGAUCUGCGGCCGAUUAGGUUGUUGUUGGGGUAACGGCCCAACAAGCCGAUAAUCGGUACGGGUUGUGGGAGCAAGAGCCCGGAGUUGGAUUCUGAGACACGAAUCCAGGCCCUACGGGGCGCAGCAGGCGCGAAAACUUUACAAUGCGGGAAACCGUGAUAAGGGAACCUCGAGUGCCUGUAUAUGCAGGCUGUCCAGGUGUCUAAAAAACACCUGAAGAAAGGGCCGGGCAAGACCGGUGCCAGCCGCCGCGGUAAUACCGGCGGCUCGAGUGGUGGCCACUUUUAUUGGGCUUAAAGCGUUCGUAGCUGGGUUGUUAAGUCUCUUGGGAAAUCUGACGGCUCAGCCGUCAAGCGUCCAAGGGAUACUGGCAAUCUUGGAACCGGGAGAGGUGAGGGGUACUUCGGGGGUAGGAUUGAAACCCUGCAUU